GGCUCAGAACGAACGCUGGCGGCGCGUUUAAGCAUGCAAGUCGAGCGGCAAGGGCCUUCGGGCCCCUAGAGCGGCGGACGGGUGAGUAACACGUGGACAAUCUGCCCCCCGGCCCGGGAUAGCCCAGGGAAACCUGGAUUAAUACCGGGAUGGGACGGGACCCGCGAUGGCGGGAUCCGGGAAAGGCGCUGCGGCGCCGCCGGGGGAUGAGUCUGCGUCCCAUUAGCUAGACGGCGGGGUAACGGCCCACCGUGGCGACGAUGGGUAGCCGGCCUGAGAGGGUGGACGGCUACAUUGGAACUGAGACACGGUCCAGACUCCUACGGGAGGCAGCAGCUAAGAAUCUUCCGCAAUGGGCGAAAGCCUGACGGAAGCGACGCCGCGUGAACGAAGAAGGCCGUGAGGUUGUAAAGUUCUUUUCGGGAGGGGAACAACCGUGGCAGGGAAUGGCCGCGGGAUGACGUGAAUCCCGGAAUAAGCCCCGGCUAACUACGUGCCAGCCGCGGC
rnacentral:rRNA from 1 species